rnacentral:rRNA from 1 species
UACGAAGGGGGCUAGCGUUGCUCGGAAUCACUGGGCGUAAAGGGUGCGUAGGCGGGUUUUUAAGUCAGAGGUGAAAUCCUGGAGCUCAACUCCAGAACUGCCUUUGAUACUGAAAGUCUUGAGUAUGGGAGAGGUGAGUGGAACUGCGAGUGUAGAGGUGAAAUUCGUGGAUAUUCGCAAGAACACCAGUGGCGAAGGCGGCUCACUGGCCCAUAACUGACGCUGAGGCACGAAAGCGUGGGGAGCAAACAGG